rnacentral:rRNA from 1 species
UACGGGGGGGGUAAGCGUUGUUCGGAAUUACUGGGCGUAAAGGGCUCGUAGGCGGCCAACUAAGUCAGACGUGAAAUCCCUCAGCUUAACUGGGGAACUGCGUCUGAUACUGGAUGGCUUGGAUUCGGGAGAGGAAUGCGGAAUUCCAGGUGUAGCGGUGAAAUGCGUAGAUAUCUGGAGGAACACCGGUGGCGAAGGCGGCAUUCUGGACCGACAUUGACGCUGAGGAGCGAAAGCCAGGGGAGCAAACGGGAUUAGAAACCCCCGUAGUCC